rnacentral:rRNA from 1 species
ACGAACGCUGGCGGCGUGCCUAAUACAUGCAAGUUGAGCGCUGAAGGUUGGUACUUGUACCAACUGGAUGAGCAGCGAACGGGUGAGUAACGCGUGGGGAAUCUGCCUUUGAGCGGGGGACAACAUUUGGAAACGAAUGCUAAUACCGCAUAAAAACUUUAAACACAAGUUUUAAGUUUGAAAGAUGCAAUUGCAUCACUCAAAGAUGAUCCCGCGUUGUAUUAGCUAGUUGGUGAGGUAAAGGCUCACCAAGGCGAUGAUACAUAGCCGACCUGAGAGGGUGAUCGGCCACAUUGGGACUGAGACACGGCCCAAACUCCUACGGGAGGCAGCAGUAGGGAAUCUUCGGCAAUGGACGAAAGUCUGACCGAGCAACGCCGCGUGAGUGAAGAAGGUUUUCGGAUCGUAAAACUCUGUUGGUAGAGAAGAACGUUGGUGAGAGUGGAAAGCUCAUCAAGUGACGGUAACUACACAGAAAGGGACGGCUAACUACGUG